rnacentral:rRNA from 1 species
UACAGAGGAGCCAAGCGUUGUCCGGAUUGACUGGGCGUAAAGCGCACGCAGGCGGAUGCGCGCGUGGGGUGUGAAAUCUGGCCGCUUAACGGCCAGGCGCCAUCCCAUACGGCGCGUCUGGAGUGAUGCAGAGGUCGAUGGAAUUGCCGGUGUAGUGGUGAAAUGCGUAGAGAUCGGCAGGAACACACAGGGGGAAACCAGUCGACUGGGCAUCUACUGACGCUGAGGUGCGAGAGCGUGGGGAGCGAACCGG